UGAUGCUCACAGAUGCUGUUAAGUAGCCCAGAGGGCCAAUCCUACCUGUGGCCUGUUUGUAUUUUUUAAGGGAUGUAAAAAGAAGAAAAUAACGAAAGAGACCAAAUGGAAGCCUGCAGAGCCUGCCGUGUAGGUGGUACCCAGAGCCUGCCCCUGCUGACCUGUCCUCUAGCUAAGCCCAGCUCCAGCACAAGGGGCCACAUGUACUUCACCUCCUUGGGGGAGGCCCCACUGCUUGAGACCCCGGGCACCUAGGCUGCAGUACUGAUACAGAGAGUUGCCUUCUGGAGACUAACUCCCUGGAUGGAGCACCCUCUCCUACAUCCAGACCGAGAGGAAGCUUUGAGAGCCAGGCCUCCCUAAUUUCAAUGACUCGAGGACGUGGGCUCCCACAGCCUGGCUGCUCCACCUGCACACGGGGAGGCGGGGCUGGUGGAGGGGCCUGGGCUUCGGCCAUGGGAAGGGCUGGCCCUGACCUCUGUGUGACCGUGGCCAAAUAGCCACUCGGAGCCUCCCUUCGCUCAUCCUGAAAGCGGGGCUGGAAAGCACCCAUCCUAGGGCUACAGUGGAGAUUCACCGAAAUGAUGCAGGUGGUG